rnacentral:rRNA from 1 species
CAUGUCCUUUUGAAUAUAAUUUAAGGUCUGAUCUGCUCAAUGAAUUUUAAAUAGCCGCAGUAUUUUGACUGUGCUAAGGUAGCAUAAUAAUUAGUUUCUUAAUUAGGAACUGGAAUGAAUGAUUGGACAAGAAAAUUUCUGUCUCUUUUUUAAUUAUUGAAUUUUAUUUUUAAGUGAAAAAGCUUAAAUGUUUAUAAAAGACGAGAAGACCCUAUAGAGUUUAAUAUUUUUUUUUAAUUAUAAAUUAGAAUAUUCUUUUAAAUUAAAUUAUUUGGUUGGGGUGAUUUAAAGAUAUAAUUAAUUCUUUAAAAUAAUAAUUAAAGAUUUUUAAAUUUUAAAUCUAUAGUUUAUAAAACUAAAAUAAAUUACCUUAGGGAUAACAGCGUAAUUUUUCUUUAAAGUUCUUAUUAUAAGGAAAGUUUGCGACCUCGAUGUUGGAUUAAAAUAAAUUUUUGGUGCAAUAACUAAAAAAUUGGGUCUGUUCGACCUUUAAAAUUUUACAUGAUCUGAGUUUAGACCGGUGUGAACCAGGUUGGAUUCUAUCUUUAUAUAAAAAAUAUAUUUUAGUACGAAAGGACCAAAUAUAUAUUAAAUUAAUUGU